AGACACUCUGAAAACCCACCAGGAGAUACCGGAGUGUAGACUAAGAGCAACACCAACCACUGGGCCUUCCAGGACAUCCCUCUCUGCAAUCCUGAUCAUCAGUUGCCAUUUGGGAAACAGUCCCUGCUCCCAGACACAUUAUUUUUGUCAUUCCUAUUCUGAUCAGGGAUUCUGGAUUUCUUUGGACCUGACAGUUAAGAGCAUCUGCCUGCAGAGAACUCGAGAUAGCUCCUUUCUCUUUGGAGGGAAUGGAUGUGCUCAAGAGGAAACUGUUGAGAACACACCCCGCCAGACCCCCUGCAUAACCACAGGAGAUACACUGACAAGAACGGGAGAGGCGUGAUGAUGGAACCCAAGUGAAAAUCCAGGUCACAACAUCAGGGAACAUUCAGUGGUACAAGUCAAGCUCGUGACUUUCAGAAAACGAUGACAAAACAGGCAAGGAGAGAGCUCACCUGCUAGGAACUGAAAAUUAUGCAAAGCCUAAGAAAAUGGCCUGGUUUGGAAAUGGAUGGAAAUUCUCGAUUUGGGAACAGCUCCAGGAAAAAUUAACUUUCAAACCUAUGAACAGUCUAGAAGGCAGCAAGGAGGAGUGUCGUUCCUCUCAAAUUUACGAGUAAAUUUGAGUAAACACCCCAGCUUCUGGUCACUGGGGACAUGACCUAGCAGUUAAGUGAACUAAUUUCUAGAUGACUGGGGUCCAAUUCCCAGCACUCACAGGAUGACUCACAACUACCUUAGUCAUGGAGGAUCUGAUACCCUUUACUCUGGCUCUGUGGGCACUGCAUACACAUGGUGCAGGCAAAACAUCCAUACCCAUAAUCCGAUCUCUUAAGUCAGGGAGUCUUUGUCAUGUUUCUGCUGAAGCGUGUUUUGCCUGCCUCCCUUUGUCCGACAUCCUUACAGGACGUUAUGAUGUGCGCUUGAACACAAACACCUUUCUGCUGAAUGCAACCAGCGAUAAGUUCACUGAGGACACGCCCCCGAAGGCUUCCUUCCACUGCGAGGCUCAGCAAGCCAACAGGUCUGAGUUUCAGUGUUGGCCCUGGACGAGGCAGUAACUCUGCAAAGCCUAGCACUGAACGUGAUGGGCGAAAGUAGUGGCAUGGACACCUCAGUUUUCUCACCAUCUCCAAUAAAAAAGUAAAAGUGCCCAGACACAGGAUGGUUCCUGCAGUGCUGUGGGAAUGUCAAGAAUCUGCAUAUAAUGCAGACUGCCUACAGUGAAGGAAGGGGAUGUGCAGUCCUUGUGUUAAAAAAAGGGAUUUGCAUGCAAUGGCCCAGGUGGGGUUCACUCUGUAUCAGUGGAAGACUGGUGUUGGCAAAGAACAAGUAUUGAAGAAAAAUAAAAAUAAAAAUCUUG